rnacentral:rRNA from 1 species
GAUGAACGCUGGCGGCGUGCCUAAUACAUGCAAGUCGAGCGAACAGACGAGGAGCUUACUCCUCUGACGUUAGCGGCGGACGGGUGAGUAACACGUGGAUAACCUACCUAUAAGACUGGGAUAACUUCGUGAAACCGGAGCUAAUACCGGAUAACAUGUUGAACCGCAUGGUUCAACAGUGAAAGACGGUCUUGCUGUCACUUAUAGAUGGAUCCGCGUCGCAUUAGCUAGUUGGUAAGGUAACGGCUUACCAAGGCAACGAUGCGUAGCCGACCUGAGAGGGUGAUCGGCCACACUGGAACUGAGACACGGUCCAGACUCCUACGGGAGGCAGCAGUAGGGAAUCUUCCGCAAUGGGCGAAAGCCUGACGGAGCAACGCCGCGUGAGUGAAGAAGGUCUUCGGAUCGUAAAACUCUGUUAUUAGGGAAGAACAAAUGUGUAAGUAACUAUGCACGUCUUGACGGUACCUAAUCAGAAAGCCACGGCUAACUACGUG